rnacentral:rRNA from 1 species
ACACUCCUGCGGGAGGCAGCAGUGGGGAAUUUUGGACAAUGGGCGAAAGCCUGAUCCAGCAAUGCCGCGUGAGUGAAGAAGGCCUUCGGGUUGUAAAGCUCUUUUGUCAGGGAAGAAACGGUGAGAGCUAAUAUCUCUUGCUAAUGACGGUACCUGAAGAAUAAGCACCGGCUAACUACGUGCCAGCAGCCGCGGUAAUACGUAGGGUGCAAGCGUUAAUCGGAAUUACUGGGCGUAAAGCGUGCGCAGGCGGUUUUGUAAGUCUGAUGUGAAAUCCCCGGGCUCAACCUGGGAAUUGCAUUGGAGACUGCAAGGCUAGAAUCUGGCAGAGGGGGGUAGAAUUCCACGUGGAGCAGUGAAAUGCGUAGAUAUGUGGAGGAACACCGAUGGCGAAGGCAGCCCCCUGGGUCAAGAUUGACGCUCAUGCACGAAAGCGUGGGGAGCAAACAGGAUUAGAAACCCGAGUAGUCCC